rnacentral:rRNA from 1 species
ACCUAAUAGAUACCCUGGUAGUCCACGCCCUAAACGAUGCGAACUGGACGUUGGGUGGACUUAGCCACUCAGUGUCGAAAGCUAAACGCGUUAAGUUCGCCGCCUGGGGAGUACGGUCGCAAGACUGAAACUCAAAGGAAUUGACGGGGGCCCGCACAAGCGGUGGAGUAUGUAGUUUAAUUCGAUGCAACGCGCAGAACCUUACCUGGCCUUGACAUGUCCGGAACCUUGCAGAGAUGCGAGGGUGCCUUCGGGAAUCGGAACACAGGUGCUGCAUGGCUGUCGUCAGCUCGUGUCGUGAGAUGUUGGGUUAAGUCCCGCAACGAGCGCAACCCUUGUCCCUAGUUGCCAGCACGUAAUGGUGGGAACUCUAGGGAGACUGCCGGUGACAAACCGGAGGAAGGUGGGGAUGAGGUCAAGUCAUCAUGGCCCUUACGGCCAGGGCUACACACGUACUACAAUGGGAGGUACAGAGGGUUGCCAAGCCGCAAGGCGGAGCCAAUCCCAGAAAACCUCUCUCAGUCCGGAUCGGAGUCUGCAAC